GGUGAACGCUGGCGGCGUGCUUAAGACAUGCAAGUCGAACGCAGUCUUCGGACUGAGUGGCGCACGGGUGAGUAACACGUAACUGACCUACCCCCAAGUCGCGGAUAACUGGCCGAAAGGUCAGCUAAUACGUGAUGUGAUGUCCCCUUUCUGGGGGGCCAUUAAAGGUUUACUGCUUGGGGAUGGGGUUGCGUUCCAUCAGCUAGUUGGCGGGGUAAGGGCCCACCAAGGCAACGACGGAUAGCCGGCCUGAGAGGGUGGCCGGCCACAGGGGCACUGAGACACGGGUCCCACUCCUACGGGAGGCAGCAGUUAGGAAUCUUCCACAAUGGGCGAAAGCCUGAUGGAGCGACGCCGCGUGAGGGAUGAAGGUUCUCGGAUCGUAAACCUCUGAAUCAGGGACGAAAGACGCGUAAGCGGGAUGACGGUACCUGAGUGAUAGCACCGGCUAACUCCGUGCCAGCCGCCGCGGUAA
rnacentral:rRNA from 1 species